CAUAAUCAAACUACUUUUUGGGGGUUGGUAAGUACCUUGGAGAAAAACUGUCCAAAGCAACAUCUUUCUCUUGCCUUCUCUUUUUGCUACUUGGAGUUUGCUCAAGCAGUGUAUCGGCACAGCGCUUAAGCCAAGACAAAGGAGCAGAGAGAGCAGACGGCCCAGUAUCUGAUCGACCUGAAUUGUGCGCAGUACCAUUUGAUGAAUCUAUUUUAUUCUUUGCCAGCACCUUCCGUGGAGUGAUACGAUCUGGAAUGACUUUUAAGUCCUCCAAUUUCUUCAAUUCCUCAAUCCGAGCAAGAAUCUCUCCCCUAUCUGCAUGCAGUAGUUCUCUCUGUUUUUCCAAUUUCUCUCUCUGCAACUUAAGUUCUUCUAUAGAACGAUUUAGCUCAGCCCAUUCCUCAUCUCGUUUUUCACGGUCCAAUUGGAUCUCCUUUUUUUCAGCAUCCAGUCUUUUCAUUUCUGAGUUAACAAAUUCCAUUUCCUUCUGCACAGUUUCUCUAAGAGAAGCAAUCUCCUGAAGUUCUUUCUUCUUUUCUUCAUCAAAAACUUCCAUUCUUUCCUUGAGAUAACUUUCUAUCUCUUCACGCCUCUUUUCAACACGGUUCACAAGUUCAUUUUUCUGCACUUCAAUGUCUCGCAAAAUCUCUGUACGCUCUUUUUGAAUUUUGUUGAACCACUCAGACCUUUCACACUCUAACUCGCUCAUGAAGGUUUGACGAUCACAAGAAAGAGACUCAAGAUCACGUUUAUACUGAUCACGUAUUGCAUCCUUCUCCAAUUUGAGGUUGUUGCGCUCAUCCUUAAGAAACUUGUAAAUGGCUAACCUCUCUUCAGCAACACGUUCUUCUUCUUUUCUGAGCUCACCUCUUUUCUCAUCAAUUAAUUCCCAUUCAGUCUCAAACUUUGCUUUCUCUGCUUUCAGCUGAUCUGCUUCAGCCUCAAGCUCCAGCUUCUGUGCUGUGAUCAUGUCAAUCUCGUCCUUCAAUCUUUUUUCUAGAACCAGUAAGUCAUUCGUUUCACUUGUCAUUGCCUCCAUUUUCUCUUCAGCAUAACAUAUUUGUUUCUUUUUCUCCUCCAAAGAAUCCAAAGACUUUUGGAGGUCAAGCUUUAUUUGGUUGAUCUCUUCUUUAUCUUUCUCCAGCAGGGACUUAAUCAACUCCACCUCUCCCUCAGCAGCAACAAGGUUUUUUUCUUUUUCUUCAAGUGAAUGACGCCUUUCUUCCAAAUCUUUCUCCUUUUCCACAAUUGCUUUUGCUUGAAUCUCUAAAUCAUGCUCUUUAUCCUUCACAAGCUCCUCCUUUUGCUUCAUAUCGAUUUCCCUCAACUCCCAAGUCCGCCUCUUGGAUUCAAUUUCUUCUUCCGCCAAUUUGCGUGUCAUGUCCAUCUCUGCCUCAAAAGCGGACUUUUGUACAUUCCAUGCAGCUUCACGAUCAUCUACUGCUUGUUGAACCCCAUCCUACAUAAUGCAUCCAGAUGCAAGUUUAAGCGGAAUUUUACCCAAUGAACAAACAUCUUGCUAAGUUUCUGUUCUUAUAAUAACUUACAAACUCUUUGUUAGCUAAUUUCCCUUGUAGAAUAAGCAGCUCUUCCUCUUUCUUUGUAAGUUCACACUCCUUGCUGAUAACAGCCUGUAGGGACGUAAAAUUGGAAAAAAAGAAUAUUGACAAAACCAUUUAGAAGCACAGAAUUAAUCAGGAAACUUUGACAACAAACCUCCUCUCUUGCUGACAAGGACGUUUGUAAAAGAUCCAAAUCUUGUUUUUUCUCGAAAAGAACUUUGCGCUCGUUUUCUACAUCCAACUUUGAAGCUUCCAAUUGCUUCUCAAGCCUAGUUAAUUCUUGAGAUCUGUUAAAAACGUACUCCUCCCUUUGGUUAAGUAAAGAUUGCCCAUCAAGCAAUCUGUCUUGAGACUGCUGCAAAACUUUCUGCCUUUCACGUAAAGAUUGCCUCUCAGAGUGGAUUUCAUUCUCUUUGUUGUCACACCUAGAAUGUAAGAAAAAGACGAACUCAUGAUUUAAUCACCCUCAAUACAUUCAAAUUCCAGAAGCUGAAAUGUAAGUUAGAAUCAAUCUAUUCUGCGCACUCAUUCAAUAAAUGUCCAACUAAAAUAUUUCCCAUCUUUAGAAGCUCAAAGCUAAUAGCUGAAAGUCAUAUUUAUACAAAUUGCAAUGCAAUGCAAUUCAAGUGGCAUCAAAUGAGCUCGGAAUCCGUGGUCAAGCAUUAAGCUUAAGAUGAACAAUAGAUUUCACAGUUCUCCAGUUAGCAGCAGUAGUUACCUGUACUGCAACAUAAUAAGACAUCUAACAUGAGCAAAACCAACUACAUUUGCAUCUAGUAAAAGUAAUUCAUCAAGACUAUUUAAAAUUGUUGAGCUCCGCUUAAGUAACAAAGGCCACAAGAUUGGACAAUCAUUGUUUUGAAAUGGUAAAAAAAAUAGAAUAUUUAUGCCACGAGUAUGUUCAACAAAAAAAUAUAAAAGCCAUCUACUACCCAUAUAUUGACGGGAUGAAUCAACUUGUAACUACAGAAGUGAGACCAAAACAAAAAAUUGUGGAAUUGCCAACACCAAUUUAAAUCAGGAACGCAAUCAUGAUUAUAGCUACCAGCUAUAUGUGGCAGUCUAUAAUUUCAAAAUUUUUUUAAAGAUCAACAAGAAUUCACCUAAAGAACCACAAACAAUGAUGACAAGACAAGGUGUUCUAUUACCUGACUAUCCCCACUAGCUCUUCCAACAUCUACUGAGGUUACUUCCCGAAUCGUUAUGAUUUUAUCUAUAUAUACAGUGGUCUCCUCAGCACCAACAGGAGUUUGGUUAAUUGGUUUUGCAGCAUUCACAGCCUCUGCAGCAUUUGCUUCUUUUGAUAAUGCACUAUAUGUAAACCACCCAGUCAAAAUGCAACAGAAACAAAUAAUGUCAACACACAGGCAUAAUCAAACUACUUUUUGGGGGUUGGUAAGUACCUUGGAGAAAAACUGUCCAAAGCAACAUCUUUCUCUUGCCUUCUCUUUUUGCUACUUGGAGUUUGCUCAAGCAGUGUAUCAGCACAGCGCUUAAGCCAAGACAAAGGAGCAGAGAGAGCAGACGGUCCAGUAUCUGAUCGACCUGAAUUGUGCGCAGUACCAUUUGAAUCUAUUUUAUUCUUUGCCGGCACCUUUCGUGGAGUGAUACGAUCUGGAAUGACUUUUAAGUCCUCCAAUUUCUUCAAUUCCUCAAUCUGAGCAAGAAUCUCUCCCCUAUCUGCAUGCAGUAGUUCUCUCUGUUUUUCCAAUUUCUCUCUCUGCAACUUAAGUUCUUCUAUAGAACGAUUUAGCUCAGCCCAUUCCUCAUCUCGUUUUUCACGGUCCAAUUGGAUCUCCUUUUUUUCAGUAUCCAGUCUUUUCAUUUCUGAGUUAACAAAUUCCAUUUCCUUCUGCACAGUUUCUCUAAGAGAAGCAAUCUCCUGAAGUUCUUUCUUCUUUUCUUCAUCAAAAACUUCCAUUCUUUCCUUGAGAUAACUUUCUAUCUCUUCACGCCUCUUUUCAACACGGUUCACAAGUUCAUUUUUCUGCACUUCAAUGUCUCGCAAAAUCUCUGUACGUUCUUUUUGAAUUUUGUUGAACCACUCAGACCUUUCACACUCUAACUCGCUCAUGAAGGUUUGACGAUCACAAGAAAGAGACUCAAGAUCACGUUUAUACUGAUCACGUAUUGCAUCCUUCUCCAAUUUGAGGUUGUUGCGCUCAUCCUUAAGAAACUUGUAAAUGGCUAACCUCUCUUCAGCAACACGUUCUUCUUCUUUUCUGAGCUCACCUCUUUUCUCAUCAAUUAAUUCCCAUUCAGUCUCAAACUUUGCUUUCUCUGCUUUCAGCUGAUCUGCUUCAGCCUCAAGCUCCAGCUUCUGUGCUGUGAUCAUGUCAAUCUCGUCCUUCAAUCUUUUUUCUAGAACCAGUAAGUCAUUCGUUUCACUUGUCAUUGCCUCCAUUUUCUCUUCAGCAUAACAUAUUUGUUUCUUUUUCUCCUCCAAAGAAUCCAAAGACUUUUGGAGGUCAAGCUUUAUUUGGUUGAUCUCUUCUUUAUCUUUCUCCAGCAGGGACUUAAUCAACUCCACCUCUCCCUCAGCAGCAACAAGGUUUUUUUCUUUUUCUUCAAGUGAAUGACGCCUUUCUUCCAAAUCUUUCUCCUUUUCCACAAUUGCUUUUGCUUGAAUCUCUAAAUCAUGCUCUUUAUCCUUCACAAGCUCCUCCUUUUGCUUCAUAUCGAUUUCCCUCAACUCCCAAGUCCGCCUCUUGGAUUCAAUUUCUUCUUCCGCCAAUUUGCGUGUCAUGUCCAUCUCUGC
rnacentral:lncRNA from 1 species